rnacentral:rRNA from 1 species
GACGAACGCUGGCGGCGUGCCUAAUACAUGCAAGUCGAACGCUUCUUUCCUCCCGAGUGCUUGCACUCAAUUGGAAAGAGGAGUGGCGGACGGGUGAGUAACACGUGGGUAACCUACCCAUCAGAGGGGGAUAACACUUGGAAACAGGUGCUAAUACCGCAUAACAGUUUAUGCCGCAUGGCAUAAGAGUGAAAGGCGCUUUCGGGUGUCGCUGAUGGAUGGACCCGCGGUGCAUUAGCUAGUUGGUGAGGUAACGGCUCACCAAGGCCACGAUGCAUAGCCGACCUGAGGGGGUGCUGGGCACCACGGGGGCUGAGAAACGGCCCAGACACCUACGGGAGGCAGCGGUAGGGAAUCUUCGGCAAUGGACGAAAGUCUGACCGAGCAACGCCGCGUGAGUGAAGAAGGUUUUCGGAUCGUAAAACUCUGUUGUUAGAGAAGAACAAGGACGUUAGUAACUGAACGUCGCCUGACGGUAUCUAACCAGAAAGACACGGCGAACUACGU